GAAUGCCUAGGCAUCUAAAGGCGAUGAAGGACGUGGCAAGCUGCGAUAAGCUCCGGGUAGAGGCAAGCACUCCAAGAUCCGGAGAUUUCCGAAUGGGGCAACCCAAUAAUCCCGUAAGGGAGGCUAACCCAGGGAACUGAAACAUCUAAGUACCUGGAGGAAGAGAAAACAAUAGUGAUUCCCCAAGUAGUGGCGAGCGAACAGGGAAGAGCCCAAAC
rnacentral:rRNA from 1 species